rnacentral:lncRNA from 1 species
GUCUUGUAUACUCUUAUUUGUCUAUUUGUCUUUUUCUUUAUUAGCCAUGGCGUUGUCAGUUUAUUUUCGAAUUGUCAAAUGAACAUAUUAGUGCAUAAAAUCUAUUUUUUAUGACAUAGGUGACGAUUUCAGUUUCCCAUUGUUAACUUGCCUUUAGCAGUAGUAACAUGCUACUAGUAUCAUUACAAAGACAUUCCACAACUCAAUUGAUGCAGAUAAGAGAGUGUUCACGUUUUGUAAAAAAAAAAAAAAUUAGAUACACAACAACCGAUACAACAGGGAUAUAAGGAAAAACGACACAAAUUAACUUCAAAUCAGUUUCACGGACACUGUCACAAUUAGAUAACCGAUCUGAUGUGUACAGUUUUUAAUUCAUGAGAUAUUCCCUUUCCCGAGAUUGGAUCGUAUGGUACCAUGAUAGUCAUCUGAACUUUAUCUAAACAGCUGAUUGUAUCCUGCUCUUUUUUGUGACAUUUUUCUGAGUCUACAAUCUGCAUGGUAGAUUACGCAAGACGCUUAUCCUUUCCAUGCAACAAGUCUUGAUCCUUUUGGAGUAAAUAUGAUUUUAUUUAGUUUUUAAUUAGCAUCACGACAUCAAACAUCAUAAGACUACUUUCUCCUCUUGUUGGAACUAUCACCUGAAUAUCUUUUUUCAUUUUACGUAGCCAAACAGUAUCAAAUACUCACAACCAUUAAAACAAGAUCAAUGUAACUACCCAAAGUGAAGUUUUAUAACGAAAAAGUGAAAGUAUAAUUCGGUGUAAAUUGUACAUCUUCACCAACUUCGCUAUUAUAAAUCAAAAUCAGCGAAUAAGUAAAACCGAUCGGUAAUUAAAGCCAUAAGCCGGAUCACAAAAACAUAAUUAUUUAAUGAAAGAGCCAAUUUAUCAAAAAGAAAAAGAAUGAAAUAUAUUUAAAGUCAACCAAUGACAAAGUUACGAAUUAUGGACUUGAAAACCAAAAGUAGAUUUUUUGUAAUCAAUCCUGCAUAUUUUAUUUUAAUUUGGUCCAUGCAAUGGCAAUUAAUACAUUGUUAACACACACAUAUAGUCAGUAAAAAAGUUUAAUAUCGACAUUUGUACCCCAAAGUUGAAAAUAUAUUGAACAAAUCAACGUUUUUCUCGUUUAAGAAAAACAAGAGCUGAUAUGUGCAAUUGCCAUAAGUAAAAGAUUGUACAAAAAUCCAAUACAUAUAAAACAACUAGAUAUCUUAGUGCUGCAUUAACAUGUAAACGAACAUAUCGGUAUGUCUUGUAUAUCAAGAAAAAGAUAUACAAUAGGUUACGACUGCACACCAACAGAAAAGCUUGUCUACAAAGAUUCUUACGUCUCAACAGAAAUAGACGAAAUCUGACCAUGACUUUUAUAUAAAAUCCGGAAAAAUUGUCACUUGACACAACAUAAAAUAAAGAACUUUAAAAGUUAAAAAAAAACCAUCAAAGGCUGGGGUUGAUCACAUAUACUCUAGAAGGAUGAAAAGAUACUGCUCCAUACGUGAGGAAAGCUCAUUUAAAGUUUUGUACAUAUAAUAAAUUAAAAAUGGAAAUGGUGAAUGUGUCAAAGAGACAACAACCUGACCAAAGUGCAGACAAUAGCCGAAGGCCAUCAAUGGGUCUUUAAUGAAGUGAGAAACUCCCGUACCCGGAGGCGUGCAUUUUAAUUUCUUUUUUAAUGCCACACCUACGAAAGUCAUUUAAAGUUUCGUACAAAUAAUGAAUUAAAAAUGGAAAUGGGGAAUGUGUCAAAGAGACAACAACCUGACCAAAGAGCAGAC